rnacentral:rRNA from 1 species
GCAAGUGGUGCCCGCUUUUAUUGGGCCUAAAGCGUUCGUAGCCGGUUUAGUAAGUCCUGGGGUAAAUCUUCAGGCUUAACNUGAGGAAUUCCGAGGAUACUGCUAGACUAGGAGUUGAGAAAGGUCAGAGGUACCUCUGGGGUAGGGGUGAAAUCCUAUAAUCCUAGGGGGACCACCAGUGGCGAAGGCGUCUGACUAGAGCAAGCUCGACGGUGAGGGACGAAAGCCAGGGGCGCGAACGGGAUUAGAUACCCCGGUAGUCCUGGCCGUAAACGCCGCGCGCUAGGUGUUACAUCCUCUACGAGGGGAUGUAGUGCCGAAGAGAAGUUGAUAAGCGUGCCGCCUGGGAAGUAUUACCGCAAGGUAGAAACUUAAAGGAAUUGGCGGGGGAGCACCACAAGGGGUGGAGUCUGCGGUUCAAUUGGAUUCAACGCCGGGAAACUCACCGGGAGCGACGGCAGAGUGAUGGCCAAGCUGACGACUUUGCUUGACGAGCCGAGAGGAGGUGCAUGGCCGUCGUCAGCUCGUACUGUGAAGCGUCCUGUUAAGUCAGGCAACGAGCGAGACCCGUGCCCUUAGUUGCAACUUUUUCCCAUUGGGAGAAGGGCACUCUAAGGGGACCGCCAGUGAUGAACUGGAGGAAGGUGCGGGCGACGGUAGGUCAGUAUGCCCCGAAUCUCCCGGGCUACACGCGGACUACAAUGGAUGGUACAAUGGGUUUCAACUCCGAGAGGAGAAGGUAAUCUCCAAAGCCAUCCCAAGUACAGAUUGUGGGUUGCAACCCACCCACAUGAAGCCGGAAUCCCUAGUAAUCGCGUGUCAUCAUCGCGCGGUGAAUAUGUCCCUGCUCCUUGCACACACCGCCCGUCAAGCCACCCGAGUGGAGCUUGGUCGAGGUUACAUCCUCUGGGGUAUCG